rnacentral:sRNA from 12 species
AAUAGGAGCCAGCCAUAUGUGCGGAGCACAUAUUUAGGAUGCUGGCGACGACAUGCCGCCGAGCGGAUGCGAGGGGGCGAUACUUGAU